AGAGUUUGAUCAUGGCUCAGAACGAACGCUGGCGGCAGGCCUAACACAUGCAAGUCGAACGCACCCUUCGGGGUGAGUGGCAGACGGGUGAGUAACGCGUGGGAAUUUGCCUGGUGGUGCGGGACAACCCGGGGAAACUCGGGCUAAUACCGCAUGAGCCCUUCGGGGGAAAGAUUUAUCGCCAUCAGAGGAGCCCGCGUCGGAUCAGCUUGUUGGUGGGGUAACGGCCCACCAAGGCGACGAUCCGUAGCUGGUCUGAGAGGAUGAUCAGCCACACUGGGACUGAGACACGGCCCAGACUCCUACGGGAGGCAGCAGUCGGGAAUCUUGCGCAAUGGGCGAAAGCCUGACGCAGCAACACCGUGUGGGCGACGAAGGCCUUCGGGUCGUAAAGCCCUGUUGUUGGGGACGAAGGGCGAAGGGUUAAUAGCCCCUAGCUUGACGGUACCCUUCGAGGAAGCCCCGGCUAACUACGUGCCAGCAGCCGCGGUAAUACGUGGGGGGCGAGCGUUGUCCGGAAUUAUUGGGCGUAAAGAGCGUGUAGGCGGCUUGGUAAGUCUGCCGUGAAACCCCGGGGCUCAACCCCGGGCGUGCGGUGGAUACUGCCAAGCUAGAGGAUGGUAGAGGCGAGUGGAAUUCCCGGUGUAGCGGUGAAAUGCGCAGAUAUCGGGAGGAACACCAGUAGCGAAGGCGGCUCGCUGGGCCAUUCCUGACGCUGAGACGCGAAAGCUAGGGGAGCGAACAGGAUUAGAUACCCUGGUAGUCC
rnacentral:rRNA from 1 species